GCCAGUGUGGUGUAGUGGUUUGAAUGUUGGACUACAGUUCUGGAAACCAGGGUUCAACUCCUGGCUUAGCCA